GACGAACGCUGGCGGCGUGCUUAACACAUGCCAGUCGAACGGAAAGGCCCUGCUUUUGUGGGGUGCUCGAGUGGCGAACGGGUGAGUAACACGUGAGUAACCUGCCCUUGACUUCGGGAUAACUUCAGGAAACUGGGGCUAAUACCGGAUAGGAGCUCCUGCUGCAUGGUGGGGGGUGGAAAGGUUCGGCGGUGGGGGAUGGACUCGCGGCUUAUCAGCUUGUUGGUGGGGUAGUGGCUUACCAAGGCUUUGACGGGUAGCCGGCCUGAGGGGGUGACCGGCCACAUUGGGACUGAGAUACGGCCCAGACUCCUACGGGAGGCAGCAGUGGGGAAUAUUGCACAAUGGGCGGAAGCCUGAUGCAGCAACGCCGCGUGCGGGAUGACGGCCUUCGGGUUGUAAACCGCUUUCGCCUGUGACGAAGCGUGAGUGACGGUAAUGGGUAAAGAAGCACCGGCUAACUACGUG
rnacentral:rRNA from 1 species